rnacentral:rRNA from 1 species
CAGUAGGGAAUAUUGCACAAUGGAGGAAACUCUGAUGCAGCCAUGCCGCGUGUGUGAAGAAGGCCUUCGGGUUGUAAAGCACUUUCGGAGGGGAGGAAAAUGACGUUACCCUCAGAAGAAGCACCGGCUAACUCCGUG